CACGGCAAGCUAGUGAAACCACUACAUAACAAGGGAGUGGCACUUGCAGUAUUGGAGGUGCUUUGUAUCGGACGGUGAGAAGUGAGCAACGGCAGCAGGUGACAUAGGCGGGAGACUGAAGCAAGAAGAUGGUCUGACUGAUCAUUCAUGCGUGCCGCUAUGUGGCCAAGAAGAUAACUUCCUCUAUGAGGGGAGAGGAAGAGGAGAAGGGAGCAGAGAGUAGUCCUGUGAAGUCUUCAUGUGUUCUGCGAUCAGGACGCAAGAAAGAUGGCGCAGCUCUGGCUCCUCCCCCUUCUCUCUCUGCCCCCCUGACUUCUAACCCAGAUGAGAGUUCCCCUUCCAGUUCAGCCAUCCAGACACGUGAUUCUGUUCCUUACUAACACCCGAAAGGGAUUUAUUUUACAAGAUGGUUUGUCAGGAGAAGGGGCAACACAGCAGAAGGAUGAUCCACCUCUCAGAAGCCCCUAACUUCAGAGGUUGAGAGGAGGGGAAGAAUAUAUCUGGUGUGUUGUAAAUAAAAAAAGAUAUCUGAAACCUA